rnacentral:rRNA from 1 species
CACGGGGGGAGCAAGCGUUGUUCGGAAUUACUGGGCGUAAAGAGUGUGUAGGCGGUGUUCCCAGUCUGUUGUGAAAUCUCCCGGCUUAACUGGGAGGGUGCAGCGGAAACUAGAAUGCUAGAGGGUGGGAGAGGUAAGCGGAAUUCCUGGUGUAGCGGUGAAAUGCGUAGAUAUCAGGAGGAACACCUGUGGCGAAGGCGGGUCUCUGGGCCGUAACUGACGCUGAGGAGCGAAAGCAUGGGGAGCGAACAGG